GAUGAACGCUGGCGGCGCGCCUAACACAUGCAAGUCGAACGGCACCCCUCCUCGGAGGGAAGCGAGUGGCGAACGGCUGAGUAACACGUGGAGAACCUGCCCCCUCCCCCGGGAUAGCCGCCCGAAAGGACGGGUAAUACCGGAUACCCCCGGGCGCCGCAUGGCGCCCGGGCUAAAGCCCCGACGGGAGGGGAUGGCUCCGCGGCCCAUCAGGUAGACGGCGGGGUGACGGCCCACCGUGCCGACAACGGGUAGCCGGGUUGAGAGACCGACCGGCCAGAUUGGGACUGAGACACGGCCCAGACUCCUACGGGAGGCAGCAGUGGGGAAUCUUGCGCAAUGGGGGGAACCCUGACGCAGCGACGCCGCGUGCGGGACGGAGGCCUUCGGGUCGUAAACCGCUUUCAGCAGGGAAGAGUCAAGACUGUACCUGCAGAAGAAGC
rnacentral:rRNA from 1 species